rnacentral:piRNA from 1 species
UGACCUUGGAAUCAUAGAUGUUGCCCUGGA